AAAGUGCGACAAGUGUCACGACUUGCAGAUUCCCGGGAGCUGACCAAUUUCUGAAUGCAAAUUGCGGACCGACUUUCUGCCCUGUCGGCCAUGUGCUGCAGAGUGUUGUUGCCUUAUGCACUACAUCUUUUCCCUCCCUGCGCCACCCCGCGCACAGGGAAAAGGAUUCGGAGUUGACACACACACACACCUCUGUGUUGUGCGUGUGGCAGCUCUCAGAAAUGCGCAAGCCCGCGAUCAAAGACGCGGAGCCUGCCUUGCCAAGCGCGAAAGCGCCUAAGAGGCAGAGCCCUGUCUUUUCGCGAACAAGAAUGCGCCAACAACGGGGCGGUGGUCUUCACCCCCCCUUUUUCUGCUGACCUCUGCAGCAUAAGAAAACCCGCUGAACUUAA
rnacentral:misc_RNA from 1 species